rnacentral:rRNA from 1 species
GACGAACGCUGGCGGCGUGCCUAAUACAUGCAAGUAGAACGCUGAAGCGAGGAGCUUGCUCUUCUUGGAUGAGUUGCGAACGGGUGAGUAACGCGUAGGUAACCUGCCUUGUAGCGGGGGAUAACUAUUGGAAACGUUAGCUAAUACCGCAUAACAAUAGGUGACACAUGUCAUUUAUUUGAAAGGGGCAAUUGCUCCACUACAAGAUGGACCUGCGUUGUAUUAGCUAGUAGGUGAGGUAACGGCUCACCUAGGCGACGAUACAUAGCCGACCUGAGAGGGUGAUCGGCCACACUGGGACUGAGACACGGCCCAGACUCCUACGGGAGGCAGCAGUAGGGAAUCUUCGGCAAUGGGGGCAACCCUGACCGAGCAACGCCGCGUGAGUGAAGAAGGUUUUCGGAUCGUAAAGCUCUGUUGUAAGUCAAGAACGAGUGUGAGAGUGGAAAGUUCACACUGUGACGGUAGCUUACCAGAAAGGGACGGCUAACUACGUG